rnacentral:rRNA from 1 species
GGCCGCGGGAAUUCGAUUCAGGCCUAACUCAUGCAAGUCGAACGGUAUCGCGGGGCAACCUGGUGACGAGUGGAGAGCGGGUGAGUAAAGUAUCGGAACGUGCCCAGUAGUGGGGGAUAGCCCGGCGAAAGCGGGAUUAAUACCGCAUGAGACCUGAGGGUGAAAGCGGGGGAUCGCAAGACCUCGCGCUAUUGGAGCGGCCGAUAUCAGAUUAGGUAGUUGGUGGGGUAAAGGCCUGCCAAGCCGACGAUCUGUAGCUGGUCUGAGAGGGCGUCCAGCCACACUGGGGCUGAGACACGGCCCAGACUCCUACGGGAGGCAGCAGUGGGGAAUUUUGGACAAUGGGCGCAAGCCUGAUCCACCCAAGGCGCGUGCGGGAAGAAGUCCUUCGGGUUGUAACCUUUAGGGGUCAGGGAAGAAAUCUUCUGGGCUAAUACCUCGGGAGGAUGACGUA